GGGGAUUUAGCUCAGUGGUAGAGCGCUUGCCUAGCAAGUGCAAGGCCCUGAGUUCAGUCCCCA
rfam:Rattus norvegicus chromosome 3, whole genome shotgun sequence.